rnacentral:tRNA from 1 species
GCAGUAGUGGUUCAGUGGUAGAAUUCUCGCCUUCCAUGCGUGAGACCCGGGUUCAGUUCCCAGCCAUGUA